GAGUUGCAAUGUAUUUUUGUGCUCGGAAAGAGACAUGGUUAUAGAGAGAGCUCCAUACAUGGCAUAUGGAAGAACAUAUGUAAGUCUAUGCAAGAAAUUAUACCACACACGCCGGCAGUAACCCAGAACACCGACACAAGACCUUAUGCGGCGAUUACUUACUACUCCAAUAUAGACAGAAUACUGCAUAAAUAUACUAAGCAUGGGAAAUAUAGGAUGGCCCUACGAGGGGCUAUUAGCUUUAAUAUCCUCCGAAAUGACGAGUGUAGUCCCAAGACACAAGAGGCCCGGUGUAUAUGCCAUCCCCUUUUAUGACAUAGAACAGAAUACGCAGCAGUUUUACAUAGGAAGCACGAGCAGGAGCCUUGAGAGGAGGAUAAAGGAA
rnacentral:lncRNA from 1 species